ensembl:snRNA U6 U6 spliceosomal RNA
GGUAGAAUUCUAGCCUGCAAUAUACUAAAAUCGGAAUGAUACAGAGAAGCUUAGCAUGGCCCCUGUACUAAAGAAAGCCACACCUCAAGCUUCCCUCUUUC